AUCCCAGUUCGGAUUGCAGGCUGCAACCCGCCUGUAUGAAGUUGGAAUCGCUAGUAAUCGCGGAUCAGCAUGCCGCGGUGAAUACGUUCCCGGGCCUUGUACACACCGCCCGUCACACCAUGAGAGUCGGAAAUGCCCGAAGUCUGUGACCCAACCUUAGGGAGGGAGCAGCCGAAGGCAGGUCGGAUGACUGGGGUGAAGUCGUAACAAGGUAGC
rnacentral:rRNA from 1 species